rnacentral:rRNA from 1 species
AUUGAACGCUGGCGGCAGGCUUAACACAUGCAAGUCGAGCGGGGUGAUGGUGCUUGCACUAUCACUUAGCGGCGGACGGGUGAGUAAUGCUUAGGAAUCUGCCUAUUAGUGGGGGACAACAUCUCGAAAGGGAUGCUAAUACCGCAUACGUCCUACGGGAGAAAGCAGGGGAUCACUUGUGACCUUGCGCUAAUAGAUGAGCCUAAGUCGGAUUAGCUAGUUGGUGGGGUAAAGGCCUACCAAGGCGACGAUCUGUAGCGGGUCUGAGAGGAUGAGCCGCCACACUGGGACUGAGUCACGGGCCAGACUCCUACGGGAGGCAGCAGUGGGGAAUAUUGGACAAGGGGGGGAACCCUGAUCCAGCCAUGCCGCGUGUGUGAAGAAGGCCUUAUGGUUGUAAAGCACUUUAAGCGAGGAGGAGGCUCUUUUGGUUAAUACCCAAGAUGAGUGGACGUUACUCGCAGAAUAAGCACCGGCUAACUCUGUGCCAGCCGCCGCCGUAA